rnacentral:rRNA from 1 species
CAAUAAGCGGAGGAAAAGAAACCCAACCGGGGAUUGCCUCAGUAACGGCGAGUGAAGCGGCAAGAGCUCAAAUUUGAAAUCUGGCCCCUUGGGGGUCCGAGUUGUAAUUUGCAGAGGAUGCUUCGGGUGCGGUCCCCAUCUAAGUGCCCUGGAACGGGCCGUCAUAGAGGGUGAGAAUCCCGUCUGGGAUGGGCGGCCGUGCCCGUGUGAAGCUCCUUCGACGAGUCGAGUUGUUUGGGAAUGCAGCUCUAAGCGGGUGGUAAAUUUCAUCUAAAGCUAAAUACUGGCCGGAGACCGAUAGCGCACAAGUAGAGUGAUCGAAAGAUGAAAAGCACUUUGAAAAGAGAGUUAAACAGCACGUGAAAUUGUUGAAAGGGAAGCGUUGUCCACCAGACUCGCCCGGGGGGGUUCAGCCGGCACUCGUGCCGGUGUACUCCUCCCCGGGCGGGCCAGCAUCGGUUUGGGCGGCUGGUGAAAGGCCCCGGGAAUGUAACACCCUCCGGGGUGCCUUAUAGCCCGGGGUGCCAUGCAGCCAGCCUGGACCGAGGCCCGCGCUUCGGCGAGGAUGCUGGCGUAAUGGUGGUCAACGGCCCGUCUUGAAACACGGACCAAGGAGUCUAACAUCUAUGCGAGUGUUCGGGUGUCAAACCCGUCCGCGCAGUGAAAGCGAACGGAGGUGGGAGCCCCCCGGGGUGCACCAUCGACCGAUCCUGAUGUCUUCGGAUGGAUUUGAGUAAGAGCAUAGCUGUUGGGACCCGAAAGAUGGUGAACUAUGCCUGAAUAGGGCGAAGCCAGAGGAAACUCUGGUGGAGGCUCGCAGCGGUUCUGACGUGCAAAUCGAUCGUCAAAUUUGGGUAUAGGGGGCGAAAGACUAAUCGAACCAUCUGGU